rnacentral:rRNA from 1 species
GACGAACGCUGGCGGCGUGCCUAAUACAUGCAAGUAGAACGCUGAAGGAGGAGCUUGCUUCUCUGGAUGAGUUGCGAACGGGUGAGUAACGCGUAGGUAACCUGCCUGGUAGCGGGGGAUAACUAUUGGAAACGAUAGCUAAUACCGCAUAAUAGUAGUUGUUGCAUGACAUUUGCUUAAAAGGUGCAAUUGCAUCACUACCAGAUGGACCUGCGUUGUAUUAGCUAGUUGGUGGGGUAACGGCUCACCAAGGCGACGAUACAUAGCCGACCUGAGAGGGUGAUCGGCCACACUGGGACUGAGACACGGCCCAGACUCCUACGGGAGGCAGCAGUAGGGAAUCUUCGGCAAUGGACGGAAGUCUGACCGAGCAACGCCGCGUGAGUGAAGAAGGUUUUCGGAUCGUAAAGCUCUGUUGUAAGAGAAGAACGAGUGUGAGAGUGGAAAGUUCACACUGUGACGGUAUCUUACCAGAAAGGGACGGCUAACUACGUG